rnacentral:lncRNA from 1 species
GCAAGUCUGAGGCCCCUUUCCCGCGCCCUCUGGUGGAAAGUGUUCGCUUUUCUGUCCACCCAUGUGAAGGAUUCACCCCGACCCUCCUCAGGUGGCCUUUACUUUGCAGGAGCAAAGCAAGUUGGAUGAGGAGAUACAUGUAUGUGGCACACAGCUUUCUUCACUUAGCAACACGUCAGAUGCAGCGUAGAUGUGCGGAUGAAACCACCAUUGCAAAAUUAUCACUGAGACAGUCAGAGAAACCUGACAUGGCUGACUCCAUGUUGCUUUUAGCCUCACAGGCUGGCUCUCUUAGCUCAUUCCUAAGCAUGGGCCUGAAACUGCCAUUGCAAAAUCGUAACUGAGACAGCAAAAGAGACUUGACCUAACCAACUCCAUCUUGCUUCUAACCUCCAAGCUGUCCUUGUUCAUUCCUGGGUGUAGGCUGAACUAACUUUGGGAGGAACUUAAUUUAUAGUUUAAAACAAAGACGAUAAGACGAUAACAGCCCUUUCUCAAAACAAACAUCCUUCCUGACUGGGGACUAGACUGCCUUUGUAGGAUUAACAAAUUAGCCACAAGAUCAGAAAUUAUAGUUUAGGAGUCAUGCAGCUGGAGGCUCUAAGAUUGUGACCCUCCCUAAACCGCUCAGUGCUUGAGAUGUUUUACAGACCCUGCACUUAAUGGAUCAGCUGGCACCACCCAGAUGGAUAAACUGGCUCAUGUGAUCUUGUGGCCCCCACCCAGGAACUGACUCAGUGCAAGAAGACAACUUCAAUUCCCUAUGAUUUAAUGUCCUACCGAAUCAAUCAGCACUCCUGACACACUGGCUUCCCCUCACCCACCAAAUUGUCCUUAAAACCUCUGAUCUCCAAAUGCUUGAGGAGACUGAUUUGAGUAAUAAUAAAACAAGGCUCCUGCACAGCCGGCUCUGCGCGAAUUACUCUUUCUCUACUGCAGUUCUCCUGUCAUGAUAAAUCGGCUCCAUCUAGGCAGCCAGCAAGGUGAACCCACUGGGUGG